UUCUGCUAUGUAUUAAACUGUAGGCCACUCUUAGAUUGUCAUAGCUGGACAGUUCUGAACGCUUGUCACGUCAUGUUAUGGAGCAUCACGAAGUAAUGGAGAGAUACUAUUCAAGCUGCCACUGGCUUUGCCCAAAGGAAUAAGUACUGGUGCGCCUUAAAGAACAGAUUCUGGCUCACCUAUGUUUGAGGUUCAGAAUAGAUUCAAAAGGUUUUUGAGAAGAAGGCAAAGUAUUUUCCUAUAAGAGAGGAUAUUAUUUUUGCAAAAUGAAGCACCUACAGAUCUGUACAUUAAUGAUAACUGAAGCAGUAGUAAGAAGCUCUUUCUUGCUCUCCCACUCUCUUGUAUCUGCGAAAGGAGUGGAAAGUAAAGGAAAUGUAGGAGACGGGAAAGUUCAGCUCUUAUUGUGUAACAAUUUUCAGCACCUGUGCGAGAUAUAAAACUAGAAGGUUUAAUCAUCUGAAUGAAAAUGGCAAUUCCAUAGACUUUUGGAGGGACAUAUUUACUUUUUAGAUUUUAAAUUUGUGCAAAAAUUACAACUAAGGUGAUUGUAUAAACUUCAAAUGCUAUACCUUAGUGAUGUUUACAUAAACUGCUCAUAGGUUAUUCAUUGUACUU